rnacentral:sRNA from 2 species
AUGUACCACUCUUGCACUCCGGUUCUGAGCGCGGCGCACGCACUCACCUGACAACCGCCCGCUACGUUUCGGUAGCC